rnacentral:rRNA from 1 species
GACGUAGGGCGCGAGCGUUGUCCGGAUUUAUUGGGCGUAAAGAGCUCGUAGGCGGCUUGUCGCGUCGAAUGUGAAAUCUCGGGGCUCAACUCCGAGCUUGCAUUCGAUACGGGCAGGCUAGAGUUCGGUAGGGGAGACUGGAAUUCCUGGUGUAGCGGUGAAAUGCGCAGAUAUCAGGAGGAACACCGGUGGCGAAGGGCGGGUCUGCUGGGCCGAUACUGACGCUGAGGAGCGAAAGGCGUGGGGAGCGAACAGG